CCUACGGGAGGCAGCAGUAGGGAAUCUUCCACAAUGGACGAAAGUCUGAUGGAGCAACGCCGCGUGAGUGAAGAAGGAUUUCGGUUCGUAAAACUCUGUUGCGAGGGAAGAACAAGUACGAAGUAACUACUCGUACCUUGACGGUACCUCGUUAGAAAGCCACGGCUAACUACGUGCCAGCAGCCGCGGUAAU
rnacentral:rRNA from 1 species